rnacentral:rRNA from 1 species
CCUACGGGUGGCAGCAGUGGGGAAUAUUGGACAAUGGGCGAAAGCCUGAUCCAGCCAUGCCGCGUGUGUGAAGAAGGCCUUCGGGUUGUAAAGCACUUUCAGUGGGGAAGAAAGCCUUGGGGCUAAUACCCUCGAGGAAGGACAUCACCCACAGAAGAAGCACCGGCUAACUCCGUGCCAGCAGCCGCGGUAAUACGGAGGGUGCGAGCGUUAAUCGGAAUUACUGGGCGUAAAGCGCGCGUAGGCGGUCUGAUAAGCCGGUUGUGAAAGCCCCGGGCUCAACCUGGGAACGGCAUCCGGAACUGUCAGGCUAGAGUGCAGGAGAGGAAGGUAGAAUUUCCGGUGUAGCGGUGAAAUGCGUAGAGAUCGGGAGGAAUACCAGUGGCGAAGGCGGCCUUCUGGACUGACACUGACGCUGAGGUGCGAAAGCGUGGGUAGCAAACAGGAUUAGAUACCCGGGUAGUC